CGUAGGGUGCAAGCGUUAAUCGGAAUUACUGGGCGUAAAGCGUGCGCAGGCGGUUAUGUAAGACAGGUGUGAAAUCCCCGGGCUUAACCUGGGAACUGCAUUUGUGACUGCAUAGCUAGAGUACGGUAGAGGGGGAUGGAAUUCCGCGUGUAGCAGUGAAAUGCGUAGAUAUGCGGAGGAACACCGAUGGCGAAGGCAAUCCCCUGGACCUGUACUGACGCUCAUGCACGAAAGCGUGGGGAGCAAACAGGAUUAGAUACCCUGAUAGUCCACGCCCUAAACGAUGUCAACUGGUUGUUGGGUCUUCACUGACUCAGUAACGAAGCUAACGCGUGAAGUUGACCGCCUGGGGAGUACGGCCGCAAGGUUG
rnacentral:rRNA from 1 species